rnacentral:rRNA from 1 species
GAGUUUGAUCAUGGCUCAGAUUGAACGCUGGCGGCAUGCCUUACACAUGCAAGUCGAACGGCAGCGCGGGAGCAAUCCUGGCGGCGAGUGGCGAACGGGUGAGUAAUACAUCGGAACGUGCCCAAUCGUGGGGGAUAACGCAGCGAAAGCUGUGCUAAUACCGCAUACGAUCUACGGAUGAAAGCAGGGGCCGCAAGGCCUUGCGCGAAUGGAGCGGCCGAUGGCAGAUUAGGUAGUUGGUGGGGUAAAGGCUCACCAAGCCUUCGAUCUGUAGCUGGUCUGAGAGGACGACCAGCCACACUGGGACUGAGACACGGCCCAGACUCCUACGGGAGGCAGCAGUGGGGAAUUUUGGACAAUGGGCGCAAGCCUGAUCCAGCCAUGCCGCGUGCAGGAU